rnacentral:lncRNA from 1 species
UUUUCACAGGAUUUAUAAAUUGCUUAAAUAGUAAAAUGCAAGGAUUUGGACUAUGCCAUGACUCAUACAUCAGCUCAACUAGAAAAUGACUGGCUGUAUUUAACAGGUUUUAAUGCAAGAAUGUUGGCACGCUUGUCAGGGUAAGAAGGACUAUAAUAUGCUUCAUACCUUACUUGUCAUGCUGUUGAAACAUAAGGCACGUUAAAAUCUU